rnacentral:rRNA from 1 species
GUGACCUGCGGAGGAUCAUUAUUGA